AUUGAACGAUGGCGGCAGGCCUAACACAUGCAAGUCGAGCGAGCGGCGGACGGGUGAGUAAGGUCUGGGAAACUGCCUGAUGGGGGGGGAUAACUACGGGAAACGGUAGCUAAUACAGAAUACCAUCAGAGGUGACCAGCGGGGAUUAGCUAGUAGGUGGGGUAACGGCUCACCUAGGCGACGAGCCCUAGCUGGUCUGAGAGGAUGAUCCGCCACACUGGGACUGAGACACGGCCCAGACUCCUACGUGAGGCAGCAGUGGGGAAUUUUGGACAAUGGGCGCAAGCCUGAUCCAGCCAUGCCGCGUGUCUGAAGAAGGCCUUCGGGUUGUAAAGGACUUUUGUCAGGUAAGCGGUACCUGAAGAAUAAGCACCGGCUAACUACGUGCCAGCAGCCGCGGUAAUUC
rnacentral:rRNA from 1 species